GGCAGAGCAGGGCGGUAUAAAUAGGGCGAGGGGGACGGCGGUGGUCCGCCAUUUCGUGAACGCCGCUGGAGCGAGAGCAUCUGUGGGAGCAGAGCCAGAGGGGAGCGGGUGGGCCUGUCGGAGCGUUCGGAUUUGAGCUUGGGCCUUUUGAACCCAGGAUCUCGAGAUGCAUCGUGAUUCCUGUCCCUUGGACUGCAAGGUUUAUGUAGGUAAUCUUGGAAACAAUGGGAACAAGACUGAAUUAGAAAGGGCUUUUGGCUAUUAUGGACCACUCCGAAGUGUGUGGGUUGCUCGAAACCCUCCUGGCUUUGCUUUCGUUGAAUUUGAGGAUCCACGAGAUGCUGCUGAUGCUGUCCGAGAGCUAGAUGGAAGAACACUAUGUGGCUGCCGUGUGAGAGUGGAACUGUCGAAUGGAGAAAAGAGAAGUCGGAAUCGGGGCCCGCCUCCCUCUUGGGGUCGUCGUCCUCGAGAUGAUUACCGCAGGAGGAGCCCUCCACCUCGGCGCAGAGUCACCAUCAUGUCUCUUCUCACCACCCUCUGAAUCUGCAUUAGCCAGUCAACUAGCCCUUUCAGCGUCAUGUGACCAGCGCGCCCCAUUCAGCUUGGCUGGUGUCGUUUCACAUGACCCAGGCUGGCCAGUCGUCAGGUUGCACCGCCCUUUGGUUCCCGAGCAUGCUGUUUUCUCUCAGCCUUCUCUCCAACCUUAACCAAAUCGGCUGCAGCCACCUCGACCGCCCACACAUUCCUGGCCAAUCAGCUCAGCUGUUUAUUUACCAAAUGUCUUCACAACAACUACAGCAGCAGCCUUCGGCUAACAAAAAAGCAGGAAAAAUCCACAACACCCCCUUCGCCAACCAACUAAAUCCAACGCAACAUCUGGCAAAACCUUUUCAGCAAAUUCUUCCUGGCCGUCAGUCCGGCAGCCUCACCUCACCAUUUCUAGCUUGUUGAAACCCAAAACUAAUCCCCAAGAAGAAGAAGCUUUUCCCGAAGCCGGAGCAGGUCACUUUCUAGAGAUAGGAGAAGAGAAAGGUCUCUGUCUCGCGAGAGAAAUCACAAGCCGUCUCGCUCCUUCUCCAGGUCUCGUAGCCGAUCUAGGUCAAAUGAAAGGAAAUAGAAGACCAGUUUGCAAAAGUGGUGUACAGGAAAUAACUUCAUUUGACAGGAGUAUGUACAGGAAAUUAAAGUUUUGUUUGAGACUUCAUAAGCUUGGUGCAUUUUUAAGAUGUUUUAGCUGUUCAAAUUUGUUUUGUCUCUUGGAACAGUGACACGCAAAACGAUGUAAUUCUCUAUGGUUUCAAAUGGAUCAUAUGAGGCAUGUGAUAUCAAGAAUUGUUACUUUACAAUGUUCCCUUAAGCAAGAUUGAAUUUUCUUUGAAUUUUAGUUUUUUAUAGACUGAAAUAAACCUAGAUCCUGCCCAGUUUUAAGUGAGAUGUACUAAUGAUACAGAAGCAACUGGCGGAAAUUGAAUAAAGCUGUAGUCCUCAUAGCUGAGACUGUGGCACUGUGGAAUGAUAAGCAGUCUUUAGAAGCUGCUGUAAAUAUAAGCCGGCAGAUAAAGGUAGGAACCACGCUCUGAAGGUUUUCAAAGCGGUUCCUUCCUGGUUGCUACAUGCAGAUGCAGAGCUGUCGAAACGUCUUUAUUUGGAAAUGUAAAACUAAGAUACCAGGGUCCUAUCAGUUUAAGGGUACAUUGUAGAGCUGAACUUUUCAGUUACUGUGCAAGAUUUUUUUUUUCAUGCUGUCAUUUGUAAUAUGUUUGUGAGAAUCCUUGGGAUUAAAGUUUUGGUUACAAAUUGUUGUUUAACUUGAAAGCCUGUUUUUCCUUGCACACUCAAAUCUGUGAGCUUGGUAUCAAGUCCAGGUGUAACAUUCCUAUUGGAAGCCAUACUUAUAUUUUCUUGUAAAGUGCUUUUGAAUUAAUAAAAUACUAGCAUAAUUGUGUAGUCAGUUGAGCGAACCCACUGUUGCCAUUGUUCUUAUCCCUGGGAAAGCGGUUGGUUGGUUGCCCAGUUCGAUGAUCUUUGUAAGAAACAACCAAGAGGCACUACAUUAGGGAAGGAAUUUUUCCCCCUUUGCUUGUCACCUUGUUAGCCAUUUUUUAGGUGUUGAAGUCAGUUCAGGAUCAUGGCAGUUAGUGAGUAACAUUUUAAAUUAAGCACCAGUAUGGUAUAUUGUAAUUCUUUAAGUUGCCCAUAAAACGUGUCUUUGAUCUUCAGCAUGAAAACAUUCAACAAAAGUUUUAAAAUUAAUUUUAUUUUACAACUUGAGGUGUUGCAUGGAAUUCCAGAUUGAUCCAUCGUGAUGUGAAGUCCACAGAAUGGUUAAUUGUAACGACGCACAGUUGACUAUGGAGGCAUGCACACCCUUUCUCUCAAGAACAGUUGACUAUGGAGGCAUGCAUACCCUUUCUCUCAGAAAUAUGGAGGAGGUGUGGUUUCAGGGUUUUUUGUGUGUGUGUGUGUGCAAUUAGAUUAAAUCAUAAUGCAACAGUC